rnacentral:tRNA from 1 species
GCCUGGGUGGCUCAGUUGGUUGGGCGUCUGACUUCAGCUCAGGUCAUGAUCUCAUGGUUUGUGGGUUUGAGCCCUGCAUCAGGCU